UCUCACUCUCACUCGCAUUCUUUUAUUUCUUUUUUUCACUUUUAUUCUUCUCUUUCUCUCAUAUAUUUCUUGAUGUCUGAUAUCUCUCUCGAUUUCUAUUAAAUAAUCUUCUCAUCUCCCUCACUCUCGCUCAGUCUUUCUUCUUUCUUUCUUUUUCUUACUUUUUUUCAUCUUCCCAUCUCUAUCUCUCUAUCUACCUCCCGUAAGCCCACUCUCACUUAUCAUAUUUUUGGCCACAUUUGCUAUUUGCAGCUGUCUAUAUUUUUGUUUCCAUCGUGGAUCUGCAGAGGAGAGUGUGAUCUCUUACACGCCUGAUCAGGUUUUGGUUAGCAACGGGGCCAAGCAGAGUAUUCAUCAAGCCUUUGCUUACAGUUUGUUCCCCCAGAGAUGAGGGAAGCUCAAUUUGGAGUAUGAGACAAAUAUA